UAGCCUGUGAUGAAAUCAGUUAAAAAACACCAUCUUUCGGGACUGAAUGGUCUUUACAAGGCCUUGUUGAUAAAAUUCUGCAAUUCCGAGGCUU
rfam:Spinacia oleracea cultivar SynViroflay scaffold15378.1, whole genome shotgun sequence.